rnacentral:tRNA from 1 species
GGGAAGGUGGCUCAGCGGUAGAGCGCAUGCCUUACAUGCCAGAGGCCCUGGGUUCGAUUCC